UUGGGGGUAUUGUUACAAAAUCAGAAAGGGUAUUAGAGAGAGAUCUUUUCCUCUCUCUCUCUCUCUCUCCCUCAGCCUCUCUCCCUCUCUCCGAUCGUGCAAGGGAGGAGAGGAAGAAAAGAAAGAAAAGAGAAAAGGGAAGAGAAGAAGAAAUAGAGAAAGAAAAGGAAAGGAAGGAGAGGACCAAGGAGGAGAUCCUCUUCCUCAUCUUCAUCUUCAUCUUCUUCUUCUUGGAGCUCUUGGAGAGGUAAGCUUCCAAGCCCUCUCAUGGUAGAUCUUUGUAGAUGGGUUUUUAAACCCUAGAAAUGGUAUUUUUGGUACCCUAGCAUGCUAUUUAGAUGGAUUCUCCCUAAAUCUUAUAUCGAUUUGGUGGAU
rnacentral:lncRNA from 1 species